UACGAAGGGUGCAACCGUUGCUCGGAAUCAUUGGGCGUAAAGCGCACGUAGGCGGCUCCACAAGUCGGAUGUGAAAUCCCUGGGCUCAACCGAGGAAGUGCAUCCGAAACUGCGGAGCUUGAGUAUGGAAGAGGGUCGCGGAAUUCCCGGUGUAGAGGUGAAAUUCGUAGAUAUCGGGAGGAACACCAGUGGCGAAGGCGGCGACCUGGGCCAAUACUGACGCUGAGGUGCGAAAGCGUGGGGAGCAAACAGG
rnacentral:rRNA from 1 species